CAUCGUUCUCAGGGCGGGGUGAAAGUCCCCACCGGCGGUAGGGGCUCAUUGAUGGCCCGAAGCCCGCGAGCGCUUACGUUUCCUUCUGGGAACGGAAGGUCAGCAGAUCCGGUCAGAUGCCGGAGCCGACGGUCAUAGUCCGGAUGAAAGAGAAUGAGG
rnacentral:ncRNA from 2 species